UCACAUCAUCAUCUCAUCCUGAGAUUUUGUGCUUGAUUUUAAGAAACAAAACACACAAAAGUAUUAAGGUGAAGGCUCCGUCAUUUAUAGAUGACACCAGGUUGAAAAUUAAAGCCCUGAAAUAAACUGAAACAGCCGAUAACAGAAGUGGGAGCACGUUGACAGCUAAUCCUCAGGAUUUUGGAAUAAUUAGCAUUCUGUGGUUGUCAGUAAUGUUUUGAAUGGUCUGGUACAGUAUGAUGUGACUGUAGCUUAGUAACACACUGCUGUUUUAGACCAACACAGGAUUUUAAAUUUUAGGCGUCAGGUGGGUGUAAAUUAAAACCAGAGCUGAUUUUAUUUUUUCUUUUUCCACAGCGGACAAGAGAACUGGAACUGAGCUUUUCCCAUGAUGAUCACAGAACUUUCCAGCAUUUCAGACCAUGUAACACUUGGACAAAAGGGAAGAAUGACAACAAUCAGAAGCUGUGUGUUGAGGGCAUCACACCCCCGUCUACCCCUUCAAGCCAUUUGACCAGAACCUCUGAUCAGCCAACUGUAAUUUAUCUCUCAUAUACACCAGCACCACAGUCCUUCUAGUGUUUGAUACUGCACAUUAACACGUCAGAGCAUAGUUUGACCUGUAGACGAUGAAUUUGUACUUUAACUGUUUCAACAGGGUGACACAAGUGUACAUUUUUUACGCUUUCAAAACUUUUGAAAGUUUUAUAUAUUUUUGUUAAUGUUUGUUUUAUAACAUGUAAGUCUUUUCUUCCUAGGAGUAGAUAUUUUACUUCUUUUUGUGAAUAUUUCUAAUGUAGCUUGCACCAUUUUGACUCAACAAGUUGCACUGACCAGGUAGAUUUUCAUGGUAUAGUUUGACAUUUUGGGAACUAAACAUGUUUUAAACAUGCUUUUUUUUGUUGAGUGUUAGAUGAGAAGAUUGAUACAACUAUUAUAUUUAUUGUGUUGAUUAAAAUUAGAUUCUAAUAAAUGAGAUUUAGAGGUUGCCUGUGUGCAAAGCUAAGCUAAUCGUCUCUGCAGUCUAAUGAUUCCUGUUAAGAGUACCUAAUUUUAAACUCUCUGCACCGAAGUGUAUGUUUCUCAAAAUGUCAAACUUCUCCUUUAAAUACUGAAUAAGGAAACCGUCAGUUUCUCCAUACUAAUACAUGAGACAACAUGUUACUGGCUACAACAAGGUUUAAAGACAGCUAACAAACACAAUAUUGUGUCUUAGGCAUUUCUCGCCCGACCAUUAGUGAAGCCCUAGAUGCUUGUAUUUUCAGAGGAUUAUGUUUUUCUUCAACAUCUUGUGGUUUGGGGAAUAAAACUCCCAGAAGUCUCUGUGGUGUCAGAGGUCAGGAUGAGGAACACAGGAAAAAUCUAGCUGGAGUUUGUGGUGGGGGUACAAAUCUGUGUAAAAUAAAAACUUCACUGUGUGAAG
rnacentral:lncRNA from 1 species